AAUUUCUUAUCAAUAAUCAUAUUGUAUUAACUCUUAAACUAAUUUCACUAAACCAAUUUAAAACAAUGAAAUUUGCAUGAAAAUGUACAGUUAAUUUUAGAUUUACAACACCACCCACAGAAAGUAUUGCUAACAAAAUUCAAGAACUUUACAGCAUUUUUGUAUUGGAGGUGGAUAAAUUAAAUAAUGAAGAGUACAGUUCAAUUCAGUUUUCUACACAACAGAUAUAAUUGUUAUUAUACACAAAGCCUUUAUGUAUUUAUUGAGAAUAUAAAUACCUUUAACACAUUUUUAUGUUCGUCAAUAAUUCUUAUAUGUUGGUAAAUUAAGAAUAUUCUGUUUGAGUCAUUUAUUAUAAAUGUUCUAUACUCGAGAUGAACAAUACAAUUUUAAAAAAUGACAAUGGUUUUUUAGGGUUAUUAGACCUCACGUUGUCCAUUUCUAGUAAAAGAUAUCAAGGGGGGUGAUUGAUGAAUUGCCUCCCCCAUGGAAUUUUUGUCACUACUGUAUAUUAUUACCUAUAAUGUAAAUUAAAUUAAUACACAGGACAUUAUAUACUGUGGACUUUAAAUCCCCCCUUUCAGAAUUAGGAUAUAUCAGCCAUUUUGUACCUAUAUUAUGCAAAUAGCAAAUAAAGUAAUAACAAAUAAAUAUUCACUAUUUAUUUAGGCCAAUGUAAUUUAAUAUAGGAUAUCGCCAAUAGUAGAUUCAGAAUUAUAUCAACUAAGUAUAGCUUCCAGUAUGAAACCUCAAAAUACAAACUUAGAACUUUAAUUUGUAAUGAAAACUAAAAGUAAAAGCUGAAUGGUUUUUACAAAUUACAAUCGAGUAUUUUAAUUAUCUCUCAUAAAUCACAAGGUGCCUUAAGGUUGUUUUUAGAUUUUCUCCGGAGUUGUCCCAAUAAAUAUAAAAAACCGAAAAAAAAAAAAAUGAAAAAUGUAAGAAAUGUAAAAAUUAGCUAAACAUAUUAUAGCCUUUUUUCUUCAAAUAAAAAUUAAUUUGUUUGUGUGUUGGAUGUUAUGAUGAUUAUUCUAUAUUUGAUACCUAUAAAGA